rnacentral:rRNA from 1 species
GACGAACGCUGGCGGCGUGCCUAAUACAUGCAAGUAGAACGCUGAAGAGAGGAGCUUGCUCUUCUUGGAUGAGUUGCGAACGGGUGAGUAACGCGUAGGUAACCUGCCUUGUAGCGGGGGAUAACUAUUGGAAACGAUAGCUAAUACCGCAUAACAAUGGAUGACACAUGUCAUUUAUUUGAAAGGGGCAAUUGCUCCACUACAAGAUGGACCUGCGUUGUAUUAGCUAGUAGGUGAGGUAAUGGCUCACCUAGGCGACGAUACAUAGCCGACCUGAGAGGGUGGUCGGCCACACUGGGACUGAGACACGGCCCAGACUCCUACGGGAGGCAGCAGUAGGGAAUCUUCGGCAAUGGGGGCAACCCUGACCGAGCAACGCCGCGUGAGUGAAGAAGGGUUUCGGAUCGUAAAGCUCUGUUGUAAGUCAAGAACGGGUGUGAGAGUGGAAAGUUCACACUGUGACGGUAGCUUACCAGAAAGGGACGGCUAACUACGUG